rnacentral:tRNA from 7 species
GUGGAUGUAGCUCAGUUGGUUAGAGCACCAGGUUGUGGCCCUGGGGGUCGUGGGUUCGAGUCCCAUCUUCCACCCCA